ACCAGGCUCAUUGUGGCUACUUUUCUUCAAAAGAGUUUCGGUGGUUUUAAAGGAGCUUUGGCUGCUUUCUUUCUUUGGGGGUGCUUCAGUCCUCAUGUUCAUCUUGGACAUUGUCUCCUGGCCUCUGAUUCAGAUCCCUCAGCUUUCUGGCUCAGACAUUUCAGCCUUUUGCCACGAAUACUUCAGCUUCCAGCCCUGGCACUCUUCUACACCUGACUCUAACCAUUGCUGAAGGAAGCAGCAUGAGCUAGCACUGCCGAUUCUGCCAAGUAAAACUGGAAUGCUUUUGCAUGUGUGUUUAUGAUAUCAAAAUAUACAAUGUCAUAUGAAUUAUAUUCUUCAUGUUUUAUUUUUGCAAGAAGUAAUUUUUGUAGUGCUGAAGAUGCUCAUGCAAAGCAGGUGUAAGAAAAACUGCCCGGCACAAUGGAUGUGGGAGCAAAAGAUGAGUGAUAAAUAGUCUCUUUCCUUACAAAGAGGUUGAGCUUCUCAAUCCAGUCAAGUUCUGCAAACUGUCGUCUAGAGAACCUUCACCUUGGACCUGGCGGUUAAUCUACUGACUGUUCUGAAACGUUUAGCGAAGAAUGCCUAGCCAAUUCUCUAAUGGUGUGAGGUAGUAAAACCAUAUUUUAUUGCCUAUUUCCUGGCAUGUUGCAUGUGUCUAACAAAUGUGUUGAAUGAAUACUGCAGAAAUUAAGUGACUUUCAGUGGCUUCUAACUUGUCCUAGGUAGUUGUACAUGAUGGUAAAAAUAGGCUUUCUUUUUUUUUUUUUUUUUUUUUUUUUUUGUCUUUUUCCUUUUUGUCGGUACCGGGGAUCGAACUCAUGACUGCCUGCUUGCAAGGCAGGUGCUUAUGCCACUGAGCUAAACCCCCAGCCUCCUGAAAAAUAGGCUUUCUAUAGCCUCUUUAAAUGGUAGAAAAAUGUUUUCAUUAUUUUAGAAUAUAUUUUUUACAGUGCUAUGGUUUGAAUGUAUUCAAAAUUCAUGCAUCAGAAACUGAAUCCACAAUGCAACAGUGCUGGGAGGUAGGGCCUCUGGAAGAAGUUUAGGUCAUGGAAGCUCCAUCCUCACAAAUUAGUUAAGGUUUAUUAAAAAGAAAAAAGGGUUCAUGGGAGUGGGAGGUGCUCUAGAAUUCUUCGCCUUCCGCCAUGGGCAGACCCAGCAGUAAAGGUCUCAGCAGAGGCUAUUGCUUUCAUAUUUGUCUUUCCGGCUCCAGAGCUGUACGGAAAAUAACUGUUCUUCACAAAUUAUUCAGUCUCGGAUAUUCUGUUACAGAAGCACAGAACAGACAAAGACAGACUGCAAUGCUUUUUCUGACACUACAGAGUUGUCAUCCAUAUGAUCCUGGUGCUCAUCCCCUUAGAAUCUUUCCAGGGGCCUGAAAUAUACAGAAAGAUCUAGGUGAUUCUGAAACAGCUGCCCAUGGGUCCUGUUUUAAGAAACUGUUACUGAACACACAUUGAGCUAUAGAAUUUUGUUGAAGUCUUUGCAAAUAAAACUCUUGAAAUUAAGAAUACAUAUAAUGGAUUUGAGAAUAAUUUUGAAAAUAAGAUUUCAAAACUCGAGUCACAUAUGCAAAGUGGCUUGGGUCCUCAGGAGCUCUGAUAAACAGAGCUACUACAUUAUCUCAGAUGAGGCAAGGUAACCAAUUAAUAAAGGCUGGAAUCAACAUGCCAGGUGCAAUCCUUAUUUAGUAAUCACUGAGUUAAUCUAUGAUUUACAGUUGUUAGAUCAAUGAAGAUAAAGAGCAUCUUUAAAUGUUUGGGCAAGUGUGUCUGAAAAUAGGCUAAAACAGGAGCAGUAUAAUUAAAUAUACUUUUUGAUUCAAGGAGGUUUUCCUUUGUAUUAGGGAUCAAACUCAUCACCUCGCGUUUGCCAAGCAGGCGCUUAUGCCACUGAGCUAAAUCCCUGGCCCUCAAGGAGUUUUUCAACAGACAAAUUUUACUGAAUUGCUAUAAUCCUCAUGGUCCUGAAAACAUCAAGUUAUUUCAUGACUCAAAAGCAAACUUGAAGCUCCUCAACUUGUGACUAUGUUGUAUACCUGCAUUUGUAAGUGCAUGCUAUUGAUAGGGUUAACACUUGGUGAAUAAUAAAUCUGUUAAAU